rnacentral:rRNA from 1 species
UACAGAGGGUGCAAGCGUUGUUCGGAAUUAUUGGGCGUAAAGGGCGCGUAGGCGGCACGGCAAGUCAGGAGUGAAAGGCCUGGGCUCAACCGAGGAACUGCUUUUGAGACUGCCGAGCUAGAGUGCAGAAGGGGCAACUGGAAUUCCCAGUGUAGCGGUGAAAUGCGCAGAUAUCAGGAAGAACACCCGUGGCUAAGGCGGCUCUCUAGUACGUGACUGACGCUGAGACGCGAAAGCGUGGGGAGCGAACAGG